GACGAGGAUGGCCGAGAGGUUAACGGCGAUGGACUGCUAAUCCAUUGUGCUUUGCACGCGUGGGUUCGAAUCCCAUCCUCUUCGUCA